rnacentral:rRNA from 1 species
CCUACGGGGGGCAGCAGUGGGGAAUAUUGGACAAUGGGGGGCAACCCUGAUCCAGCCAUGCCGCGUGUGUGAAGAAGGCCCUCGGGUUGUAAAGCACUUUCAGUGAGGAAGAACGCCUGGUGGUUAAUACCCAUCAGGAAAGACAUCACUCACAGAAGAAGCACCGGCUAACUCCGUGCCAGCAGCCGCGGUAAUACGGAGGGUGCGAGCGUUAAUCGGAAUUACUGGGCGUAAAGCGCGCGUAGGUGGCUUGAUAAGCCGGUUGUGAAAGCCCCGGGCUCAACCUGGGAACGGCAUCCGGAACUGUCAAGCUAGAGUGCAGGAGAGGAAGGUAGAAUUCCCGGUGUAGCGGUGAAAUGCGUAGAGAUCGGGAGGAAUACCAGUGGCGAAGGCGGCCUUCUGGACUGACACUGACACUGAGGUGCGAAAGCGUGGGUAGCAAACAGGAUUAGAUACCCCGGUAGUC